GAUGAACGCUGGCGGCGUGCCUAAUACAUGCAAGUCGAGCGAACAGACGAGGAGCUUGCUCCUCUGACGUUAGCGGCGGACGGGUGAGUAACACGUGGAUAACCUACCUAUAAGACUGGGAUAACUUCGGGAAACCGGAGCUAAUACCGGAUAACAUGUUGAACCGCAUGGUUCAACAGUGAAAGACGGUCUUGCUGUCACUUAUAGAUGGAUCCGCGCCGCAUUAGCUAGUUGGUAAGGUAACGGCUUACCAAGGCAACGAUGCGUAGCCGACCUGAGAGGGUGAUCGGCCACGCUGGAACUGAGACACGGUCCAGACUCCUACGGGAGGCAGCAGUAGGGAAUCUUCCGCAAUGGGCGAAAGCCUGACGGAGCAACGCCGCGUGAGUGAAGAAGGUCUUCGGAUCGUAAAACUCUGUUAUUAGGGAAGAACAAAUGUGUAAGUAACUAUGCACGUCUUGACGGUACCUAAUCAGAAAGCCACGGCUAACUACGUG
rnacentral:rRNA from 1 species